GAUGAAGAACUUAGCGAAAUGCGAUAAGUAAUGUGAAUUGCAGAAUUCAGUGAAUCAUCGAAUCUUUGAACGCAUCUUGCGCUCCUUGGUAUUCCUUGGAGCAUGCCUGUUUGAGUAUCAUGAGCAAAUCUCAAAGUCAAUUCCUUUUGUUGAUUCAAUUGGUUUUGCUUUGGACUUGGAGGCCUUGCAGAUUUCACAGUCUGCUCCUCUUAAAUGCAUUAGCUGGAUCUCAGUAAUUAUGCUUGGUUCCACUCGGCGUGAUAAGUAUCACUCGCUGAGGACACUGUUAAAAAGGUGGCCAGGAAAAUACUGAUUGAACCGCUUCUAACGGUCUAUUAAGUUAGACAAUUACCCUUAAGUUUGAUCUCAAAUCAGGUAGGACUACCCGCUGAACUUAAGCAUAUCAAUAAGCGGAGGA
rnacentral:misc_RNA from 1 species